ACGUACACUCCUACGGGAGGCAGCAGUGGGGAAUAUUGGACAAUGGGCGAAAGCCUGAUCCAGCAAUGCCGCGUGAGUGAUGAAGGCCUUAGGGUUGUAAAGCUCUUUUACCCGGGAUGAUAAUGACAGUACCGGGAGAAUAAGCCCCGGCUAACUCCGUGCCAGCAGCCGCGGUAAUACGGAGGGGGCUAGCGUUGUUCGGAAUUACUGGGCGUAAAGCGCGCGUAGGCGGCUUUGUAAGUUAGAGGUGAAAGCCCGGAGCUCAACUUCGGAAUUGCCUUUAAGACUGCAUCGCUAGAAUCGUGGAGAGGUGAGUGGAAUUCCGAGUGUAGAGGUGAAAUUCGUAGAUAUUCGGAAGAACACCAGUGGCGAAGGCGACUCACUGGACACGUAUUGACGCUGAGGUGCGAAAGCGUGGGGAGCAAACAGGAUUAGAUACCCCAGUAGUCCC
rnacentral:rRNA from 1 species